AUAUAUACUGAAGCAAAGAGUUAGUCCCAGCCUUGCUUCUAGUCUGUGAACACGGCCACUUAAGUGCUCUUCGUUAUCCGGCUUCGUUAUACUUCUGUUCGAUAAAAAAAAAAAAAAUGCCUCAAGACCAGUUUAUUCAAGUCCGAUGGAUAAUGUCAGGUACGACCGCGAUGACCGCUACUGCACGACUCGGGUGGUCGUGAAACUGUUCGUGUUGGGCGUCCUCCUUCUCGCCGUCUCUCUCGCCGGCUUCAUGGCUUCGUCGACCUACUGCCGAGUCAACUACGAGAACACGUGUUUAUUCGAGUCCAGGGCGGCUUACAGCGUCGGGGUGGCUGCGAUGUCGGCUGGGGGUUUCUUUAUCUUUCUCGCCUUGGUCGGCCAUUGCAGUCGGUCUUGUGCAAAGUGAAAUCACGAUGUCCUUAGAUCUGUU